rnacentral:rRNA from 1 species
GUCGAACGAACUCUGGUAUUGAUUGGUGCUUGCAUCAUGAUUUACAUUUGAGUGAGUGGCGAACUGGUGAGUAACACGUGGGAAACCUGCCCAGAAGCGGGGGAUAACACCUGGAAACAGAUGCUAAUACCGCAUAACAACUUGGACCGCAUGGUCCGAGCUUGAAAGAUGGCUUCGGCUAUCACUUUUGGAUGGUCCCGCGGCGUAUUAGCUAGAUGGUGGGGUAACGGCUCACCAUGGCAAUGAUACGUAGCCGACCUGAGAGGGUAAUCGGCCACAUUGGGACUGAGACACGGCCCAAACUCCUACGGGAGGCAGCAGUAGGGAAUCUUCCACAAUGGACGAAAGUCUGAUGGAGCAACGCCGCGUGAGUGAAGAAGGGUUUCGGCUCGUAAAACUCUGUUGUUAAAGAAGAACAUAUCUGAGAGUAACUGUUCAGGUAUUGACGGUAUUUAACCAGAAAGCCACGGCUAACUACGUGCCAGCAGCCGCGGUAAUACGUAGGUGGCAAGCGUUGUCCGGAUUUAUUGGGCGUAAAGCGAGCGCAGGCGGUUUUUUAAGUCUGAUGUGAAAGCCUUCGGCUCAACCGAAGAAGUGCAUCGGAAACUGGGAAACUUGAGUGCAGAAGAGGACAGUGGAACUCCAUGUGUAGCGGUGAAAUGCGUAGAUAUAUGGAAGAACACCAGUGGCGAAGGCGGCUGUCUGGUCUGUAACUGACGCUGAGGCUCGAAAGUAUGGGUAGCAAACAGGAUUAGAUACCCUGGUAGUCCAUACCGUAAACGAUGAAUGCUAAGUGUUGGAGGGUUUCCGCCCUUCAGUGCUGCAGCUAACGCAUUAAGCAUUCCGCCUGGGGAGUACGGCCGCAAGGCUGAAACUCAAAGGAAUUGACGGGGGCCCGCACAAGCGGUGGAGCAUGUGGUUUAAUUCGAAGCUACGCGAAGAACCUUACCAGGUCUUGACAUACUAUGCAAAUCUAAGAGAUUAGACGUUCCCUUCGGGGACAUGGAUACAGGUGGUGCAUGGUUGUCGUCAGCUCGUGUCGUGAGAUGUUGGGUUAAGUCCCGCAACGAGCGCAACCCUUAUUAUCAGUUGCCAGCAUUAAGUUGGGCACUCUGGUGAGACUGCCGGUGACAAACCGGAGGAAGGUGGGGAUGACGUCAAAUCAUCAUGCCCCUUAUGACCUGGGCUACACACGUGCUACAAUGGAUGGUACAACGAGUUGCGAACUCGCGAGAGUAAGCUAAUCUCUUAAAGCCAUUCUCAGUUCGGAUUGUAGGCUGCAACUCGCCUACAUGAAGUCGGAAUCGCUAGUAAUCGCGGAUCAGCAUGCCGCGGUGAAUACGUUCCCGGGCCUUGUACACACCGCCCGUCACACCAUGAGAGUUUGUAACACCCAAAGUCGGUGGGGUAACCUUUUAGGAACCAGCCGCCUAAG